ensembl:snoRNA
CAUCAUGUUUCCAAGCGCUGUGGCUGGUUGUGGCUAUAGGAUCUCCAACUGCAUGCGGGAACAAUCUGCAGAGACUUUGACAGCGUAGGUCAGUACAAUACCUGCAGCUGCCCCUCACCUUUCCUAUGUGU